rnacentral:lncRNA from 1 species
UGUAUCUUUGUUUGGCUGAUUCGAGAGAGAUUAGGUCGAAUUUGGGUCUAAUAUGUUGUCUUUCAGUAUAGGUGAUGCGGAGGGGAUUAAUGAACGAAUAGUGUACUUAAUGGGAGGAAAAAAAAUUGAGCAGGAGGAAAACCUAGGUGCACGAUCGUGCAUGAGAGACCCCCAGUGCGCACUUGAGCGCACAAGUGACAAGUAUUCUAUCAGAGGUGCACACCCAUGAGCAC